AGAUGGUAGGGUAAUCUGGCUAUUGCAUCUAUCAUCCCAUAGAUCUCUGUGGUUGAUUUCCUGUUCUAGACGGGUAGGUGGGUGUCCUUUCCUCAUAUACCUCCAUGUGUGUUCCUCCCAAAGCUGCAUGCUAGGUCAAAAAGGACAACAUCUCUGACAGAGGAGGAAGAUAGUUCAGUCAAGUGUACAGGAGUAACUCUACUCCACUGCUAGAUUCUCCAUGUAAGAUCUCAAGGUCAUCAUUGGCUAAAAACAACAAAUUGUCAGUCUGCAAUCAUAUAUUAGCUCUUUUUAUGUGGAAACAAUAAAAACAA
ensembl:misc_RNA 7SK 7SK RNA